UGAAACUGGGAAAACAAUUGCGAAGUCAAGCAAAGCACUUGUACAUAAUGGAAGUUGUCAGUGGACGGAUUCUAUUUCAGAAACUAUAUGUUUUUUUCAGGAUGACUCUUCAAAGGAGCUACAGGAUUGUUUCUUCAAGCUUGUUGUCUCCAUGGGUUCAGCUAGAUCUGGCAUCCUUGGAGAGGCUACAGUCAAUAUGACAGGCUAUAUGAGUUCACCUGCUCCUGUUCCAGUUUCACUAAGAUUGAAAAAGUGCAAUCAUGGGACAAUUUUACAAGUGGAAAUACACAGAAAGAUAGGAUUCGAAAUGAGGAAACUAUUUUAAAGAUCAGUGUGUAACAAAGGUUCAAGCCCUUGAAGAAGAAUUAAAGCUGAUGAAGGACGGGAAGCAGAACCAGAGGGAGUCCAGCACUAUGAAGGUUCCUAGUUUGUCUAAAACCCAUGCUAAAGUUACUCCUGUCCAUGAAGAUAUGAAGCCCUCAAAGAAGAAUGAAGUGGUGAAAAACACUAGUCAGCAACGUGAUAAUAAAAAUAAGCAAUCCUUGAAGAAUGCUCAAGUACAAGAACUUGCAAAAGAUCAUCAGAAGCUUUG